AGAAAAGCCCAGUCAGCAUUAUAAACGCUGAUGACGCUCCGGCCCCUCCCACUUCCCCCUCAGUGUUGCUGUUGUUAUGGCAGGUAGCUCCUCACUGUUACUGAGUUUAUCUGCAUUUCUACCAUCAAUAUUAAUUCAAUAACUGCUUCUAAAGCAAAAACCUCACCAGCGGACAUGUUAGAGCGGGAGUCUGACCUGAAAUCACAUAGAAAUGAACAACAUCAACAAUCAGGAUUACAGCUUUCUGUGACGUUUUCCUCAGGUACAGCAGUGAGCAGUGACCUACAGUCUACACAGCCCAGUGAAGUUAAACAUAUUAUAUAUUCCAUAAUAUUAACAACAUUAGUCAAGCAGUUGUUUCUAGUGAAGAAACAGCCAGUAAAUGUACCAAAGUAAUCAGAGUAAUAGUAUAAUGAUUACUGUAACCUCCCAUCUGUUAUAUUCUUUAUACACAUUAGUUUACUGAGACCAUGGAAACAGAAACCUGGAAUACUUUAUCCUGUACAACAUGUCAACAUAACUGAAGGAAUCACUCAUCUAAUAAAGUCAAUUGUUUAUGGGGUUGAAAAACUGCCAAGUAACCAACUUGAUAAGUUAACCUUCAGAUAUUUGUAAAAGCUGCAAUUAUGUUUGAACCCCUUUCAAUAUAUAUAUAUAUAUAUAUAUAUAUUAAUAUUGUAUUAUUUAUAUUAUAUAUUAUGAUGUCAUUUAUCUUCCAACAUAAUAAAGUUUGAAUGUGAGACAGUAA